ensembl:lncRNA
UAUAUAUAUAUAUAUAUAUAUAUAUAUAUAUAUUAUAAAUUAUUUUGUUAUUAAAAUAAUUAUCAAAUAGGUAAUUACGAUAUUUACAUAAUAAUUUAUUAUUAUAUAAUAAAUUGUUAUUCAAUGUACUUAUUAUUAACAAGUAAAAUAAUAAAGGCUAGCUAUUAAUAUAAUAAGUAAGCAUUAUUUUAAGUACAUUUUGCUUUUUUUAGUAUUUAAUACUAAUUAAAAAGAUUUAAAAAAAAUAAGCUAUUAUAAAAAAACUAAAAUUAUGAUAAAAUCAGUGAAUUACUAACGUUCUACUUAUUUUACGUUUGUUAUAAAAAUAUAAAAAACUGUACUGAAAAAAAUAAUAAUACUUUCUUGAUAAAAACGGGAAGGCUAAGAAAUUUAUUAUUAUAUGAAUUUUACAUUACUUUGAUGUUACAUAUAUAUAUAUAUAUAUAUAAUAUCCAUUAAUUAUAUUAAGAUGAAGGAAGAGUUCAUUCGAUUAUAAAUAUAUAAAUAACAUUUAUUUAUAUGUAUAUGUAUAAUAAAGAGAAAAAAAGAAAUUAAAAUUAAAAUGCUUAUAUUUAUUAUUAGUACUAUGUUAUAGUAUUACCAUAUUUAAUGUUUAUUGUUUAUUUAUAAAGAAUAAUAGUAUAAAAACAAAAAACUUUCUAAAUAUUUAUAUAUUUUUAAUUUUAAAAGUAGUUAAGUUCGUUUUCUUUUUUAUUUUUUAUAUUUUUUUAUAUUUUGAUUUUAGAAUUCAUUAGUAUGGCAAACAAAUUACUAAGUUUGUUUGUCAUUACUAUUUUUUUCUUAGUAAAUUUUAGCUAUGUUAUAACAGGGCAUAAGAAUGAAAACUCCAAAAAUAACAUGUGGAUAUCAAGAUUUAAUAUGGGGAAAGAUGGGAAUAAAAUAAAUAAAGAUGCAGAUAGACAUCUUCAUGAAACAUAUAAGAAGGACACAGAUAAUUUACUUAACAGUAAUAAGAAAGAUGUGUUCACAGAUGAACGAAGUGCACUGCUUUUAAAAGAAAUUUAUACAAAAGAUAAAGAGUUAAGUAUAAUUAAAAGAAAAAAGAAAAUGUAUAAAAACGCUACUAUAACUUUAGGGACAUUAAUAGCUGUUAUUGCGAUACGCCUUAUAAAAAAAUAUAUUGAAAAUUACUUACUUAAACUUGUCGAUGAUUGUCCUUUUUUAUCCGUUAAUAAAAAUAUGGACAAGUCAAAUGAAGAAAAAUUGUAAUAAAUAAAAAAAAAAAAAAAGUUAUAAAUCUUUAAAAAAAUCGCAUGUUUUAUUUACGCUUUUUAGUUCAUACAAUAUGUAAACAUAUUUACAUCCUACAUAUAUAUAUAUAUAUAUGUAUAAAGAAUUAAUAGAGAAAAGAAAAAAAGAAAAAAAACUUUAAAAAGAAAGAUUGAAAAUUUACUAUGCAUAAUUAUUGUUUUACAUUGUUUUUUUUUUUAUAUUAAAUGGUACGUUUAAUACUAAAACAAUAACAUUUUUAUUUAUUUGGACAUUGUUAUUUAUUGUUUUUUUUUAUUUAAUAAGAUUUUUUAUAUUGUUUUUACUACAUUAUAUAUAUGUAAAUGAGGUGUUGAAUAUACAAGUUUAAUUACAUUUAAAUAAUUUUACAUAAGUAAAUUCAUAUAUACAUAAGAUAUUAAUUUUGUGCCAACCUAAUAAAUAGUAUGUCCGCUUUAUAUAUAUAUAUAUA